CUCAAAACGCCAGAGGAGAAAUGAACCUGGGCAGCAAGAAAAGACUCGAAACUCAAUGGUGAACAGAAGAGGGAAGGCUGGGGGCUGCUCAGAGAGCUGCCGUGGGGCCUGAACUCAGAACCCUCAGGACAACCUUGCCACUGCUCCUGCCCUGCUACCCGAGAAGAAUGGGGUCGAGUCAACUUCUCCAACUCAGCGUGUUUGUCCCUGCCAUUUAUU